CUUCUGAACAGGUCACGAUUUAUUUUUCUUAUCCAGCUUGCUUAGGGCUCAUUUGAAGCCCAUCUCAUUAAGUUGCCAUCACGUAACGCUCUGUUCUCUUUUUUUAAUCAGAUGAUGUCCAAUGUUUUCCCAGCAAUCCUAAUGCAAGGAAUGACAUUGCAUGGCCAAUUACCAGGGAACUAAUUGGCAGACGACUUCUUCCCUCAUGGUUCAGAGAACGUUACAUACUCAUUCCCAGGAGAUCGUACCACACAGCAUUGCCUUGCAGCAGCAUUGCUGCAAAAGAAGCGUGCUUUUUGCCUCCACGCCUUCUCCUGCUCAUCAAUUUUGUGUCAGACUGGGAGCACUCCCCAGUGCACUCCCCAACGUCACCAAGCAGAAUCCAGCACCGACAGUGCCUUCGAAACUCUGCCUGCGUUGAAACUACAGCCCCUGUGUGCCGGCAGCUGAACAGAGGCACCCUUCUGAGUGCCCGGGCAUGGUAGCUUUGCUUUAAAGGAACUUCAGCCUGGAAAGGGCUGCCUUUUUGGUUCUUUAUAGGCACGAUCACUUUUUUCAAGCUAAGCAGUAUCUAUGGCAUUUCUUACUGCAGGUUUCAGUAUUCCAGGUUCAGUGAGAUCAGUGAUAUUUAGCAUUUGCAAACAGAAAUUCUAGGUUUAAAAAUCUUGGCAUUUUUGAUGGUGACACUUGUAAGUGCUGGAGGGGAUUAAACAUGCAGCUUCUCUGGUGUCUUCUCCUGUUAGCUGUUUCUUCAUAGUGGAAAUGACUGUCAGCAUCUUGAACCAAGCUCUGAAAGCCCUCCAUGCAUUUCAGUAGCAAUGCUGAGGACUUGUGACCAGCUUUACUCACUUUUGGAUUUACAUUUUUGCCAUUGAUUCUGAAUACAUAUUGGACCAAAUAUAUAUGCAAACAAUAUCAGGUGGCUGUGAGCUCGUACUGUCCCCACUUAUUUUUAUUGAUUCUCAGAAGCAGUGCCUGGCACCUUGGACCCAUGCAGGGAGGACUAAAUGAUGAGCAGAGCUGUUGGUUUACAUUAAAUUAGUCCAUCUUCUCUAUCCCUGCUUCCUCUGAAUUUGUGUUGUAUUUACUGGCAAAGAGCAUUUGGCAUCACCUAUUUGUAAAUCAUAAAUUUAGAUUUAUUUUACCCAAGUAAACAGAAACCAGUCCCAGUGCAGACAAUAAUAUGAGAGCUUUAAAAAAGAUGCCUUAUCUUUAUCAGUAAGUGGUAGCGUGUACUCUGUUGAGAUCUGCUCUACUAAAAUAUUUCUUCAUUUCUGUCGCCUAAGGUGAGCAAUAAGCUUUUUCUUCAGUGUGGCACUCAGUCGCAGGAUGGGGUGAGCAGUGCUACCGGAGCAGAUGAACUCUCCUCCACCUCCAGACUGCGGCACCCGCUCCCAGUAACAUUUUCAUGUCCCCUUGUGCAGCUGCAUGAUGAAUUUCUGGUAUGAAUAGUGGCUUCAGUGCAGAGUUUAAGAUGGAAAGCAGGACUUUGCCACCCAGCUUUCAAAUCUGCUGUUUUAGAGAGUUGAGGAGGAGGCUUCGUUGCCUUACCAGAGUACCCUUGCAGGCUGGAAACCCUAAGCCGGCUCCCACCCUGGCUGGCCCUUGAACUGCUGGCCCUGCACCUUUGUGCCAUAUCCCCUCCCUGGCCCAAAGCUGGCCACUUGGCUUUUUGUUUAAGAAUUGCAGGUGUAUCACUGCAGCUAAACAAUCAGAGAGCAUCUCCCAGUUGGCUGUUCAUCUCUUUGGAGGGAUACCUUUUGUGGCUGGUAUCAGAAACACAUACAAAAGGAGCUUUGAUGUCUCUACCCCUGGCUGCUGCGUUUUUGCUGUUGUGUUGCAGGAAGCACACCCAGCCCUGCCAUGCUUUGCUGAGGCAAAGCUUCCACUAAUGCCAUCGGACAAGUUUUCUUCUUUACCAUGAGCAGCCAUAAAAGAAUGCUAACUUAAAAAGAGAAGAGAUUCAAAGCCAUAUAAAGACUUGAUUCUCUUACCGAGGUAAUCCUUAUGCGAUUUUCCUAAAUAUUUUGUCGGGUUUUUCUGUCUCUUGUUUUCUUUAGUGUACGUUGGCACUAAAUGCCUGCUGACCUUCCUUGGAUCAGCUUUCGUCAUCUAAUAACUUGAGGUAAUGUGCAGAAAUCCUGGGAUUUACAUAUUUGACUGAUUUAUGAGUAAAUACCUCUCAGUCUCUGUUUAAAUCUGCUUGAGUCUAAAGAGAUGCUGAUGUGGGUACCUCUCAGAUGUAUUGCAGUCAUGUUGCAGGUACUUGCACAUGUUGGAUUUUGUUCGUUAACUCUUCCCCAACUAUGGCAAAAUACUUUUGCACCAAGUGGAAGCACCAGUUCAGGUGUUUUCCAUCCAAUCUGUGCAGUUUUUGUGGAAGUUGUACUAGACCUGUUCUUCUGCAAAUAUUAACACAAUUUCGGUUUUUUACAAGUAUACCGUAAUUAGUAUGCCUCUAAAUUUUUCCUGGCAGUUUAUUACUUCAUGAAGGGCUACAGCAUUUUCACUGGUUAAAUUCAGUGGUUAAGGCGUGUAUCAUGAAACCUGACUAAUCAAAGCUGGAGUCUUUGGUUCCUGGUGUUGGUGCUCUCUCCAUACGAAUUUCUUGGCUUGCUCCUCGCCUUUUUCAGCUUAUGGUCUAUUUAGAUUAAAACGUCUUUUCAUCUUUGGCUUGUAAACAAAAGCAAUAAACACUUCUGUAAGUGUCAAGGGCUUUGUGGACAGAGGUGUCCAGUGGCACCAUUAGGUAACUGUUUUGUGAAAUGGCUUAUCCCAGUAGACACUGAAAUGUCUUUAAAUGGUAGUCCUAUUUCUAACCCAAGUUAGGUAAAUAACUCUGUAUUUAGACUCCUCACCAAAGGUUACCGCAUUACCCAGUAGGCUGCAGUCACACUAAUGACAAAUGUUGUUUUAUCACCCUUGAGUAGAAAAUAGUACCAUCCUUGAGCUGGACCGUGCUGUGUCUCAAUUUUAUGCCCCAAAAGCAGAUGUAACAAGCAGUGUAACAAGCAUAGCUUUGUAGAGGCUUACUGCACCCACAGUCACUGACACAUGGGGAUAAACCCUCCUUUCCCCUUUGCUGUGCGUUGUGUUUACUCUGUGUUUUACAGUGUCACAUUUUACUUGAUACAAGCCUGCACUGUGGUCCUGCGUGAGGUCAUACCCUUUCGCUGACUGCUGGGACCUGCUUCCAGUUCACCUCAGGAGGAAGAUCCAGCAAAUCUGCAUGCACAAAUUGAAAGAUUCAGGCCCAGGUUUCAAUUAUAUUAGAGUAUUUGAAUACUGAAAAUCUUUGAUUUUGAUUCUUACUCAUCUCCUACAGUGGAUGUGAACUAGAUCUAAAAUCCCAACAGGCUGUGUAUUUUAAAGUGCAGAUAAGUUCAUUUCACUGAAUUCAGAGGUUUCAAACCUUUCAGGGUUACUUUUUCCAAGUGAAAUGUAGAACAACCACUGUUACUGUUCUUUUCUAUAUAAUUUUAUUCUGUACCUUCUCCAGCAACACAGUACAUUUUUGGUGUCACUUGGAUAACCAUCCUAAGUCUGAUAAGACGUUAAUUAAAACAAUUCUUAAACCAGUGCCAUUUUAGCAAUGUGAGCUGGAAUAUAGUAGCAAAUUUUUCAGCAUUUCACUUUGAUGCUUUUCUGCAGGUAGGUUCAUAAGUCGGGACCAAGUUUUAAGUCAAAUAAGUAGGAAGUGAAGCAUAAAGUACAGACUUCCAGAAGCAAAAAGCACAAGACCGUUUCAGGUUUUAAUGAGAUGUGAAAUGUUCUCACCUUGCAGAAAAAGCUCUCCAAAGAAAGAUCACCAUUGUCUUUGGGUUAAUCUGUGGGCAGAGUCGUACUUUCUCUACUAACAGCUAAUCUCUAAUGCAAUUACUGUUCAGUCAUAAAAUAAUCACUUUAUUUGAGACACCCCAAGGCUUUCUUCUCUUAUUUAGUACUUCUUUUUGCUUUCCAUGGAUGGGACCGUAAUAGCGGUCCUAACCCUACAACAGACAUAGCAGACCAAAUAUUGGUGCAGUAGUCUUUUCCCAAAGCAAAGGUUUUCCUACAGAUCAAAUAAAGUGAAAUCAGAUAGCCAAGUCCCUGAGAGUGUUGAAACUUCAACACGUGACAUGUGGGAAUCUGGAUACUCUGCGUGCGACUUUGCAUGAGAAUUAAGUGUAGAGAUAGACUUAGCUCUGUAUUUUAAUGGCAACCUUUUAGAAAGUGAUAAAAUCAUAUCUUAGCUUUUACAUAAGCUAUUCCUCAGUAACAACAGGCAAUGCAGUAACCUGCACAGGUUGGUGUGACCAGACUGGAGUACCCAGUACAGAAUUACAGUAAUGCUGUUCUUUACUAUCUGUCGGUAGAAGAACGAUAGACAACCCCAGCUGCAAACUGAUGUAGACACUGGGUGCUCUUUCCCCAGUCCCAUGCCUGCAGAACUGCGCAUAGAUCCAUCUGUUCGUCUCUGCACUUCAGUGUCUAUGUGGGGAGAGAAAAAUCACAAGUUUGGGAUGUUUUUAGGGUCAGUCACAGUUUUCACAAAAGGCAAAUUUUGAAGUCAUCUUCGAAGAUUAUAAUGAAUGAAUUGGCUGGCUCUGUACUUUUUAAUUGCUAGGAUGAUUACGUAUUUCUAUAUUAGAUUUAGUUCAAUUCAGUAUAGUUUAGGUAGUUAAAAUAGCUGGGAAAUAAGCAGGAAGACUGGAGAAUGAGUCCAGGAAAAAAAAAAAACAAACACCAAAACCUCCUGGCCAACAUCUCAAAGGCUUAGAAAAUUAACUUCUUUGCAAGGGACUUCAAGCUGCCAUUUCCUGCAAGGCCAGGAGGAACUUGUUAUAUUCUGUCUAAUCUUUUUGGAUCACUCCUCAUGGCUCCCAGGUGUAAAGAUGGCUAAAUCUAAAUGUGCUUAAUGGUCAGUAGAAAAGGGCCUUGUAUAUUGAAUCCUCUUCCUCUGACUCCAGGACAGAGAGAAUUUGAAAGAAGAAGAGGACAAUGUUUGAGGCAUAGUCUGGACGUCUCUUUGCAGACCUGAUUAACCUGGGCAGCACUUGGCAAUUAUGGUGUUUGCCUUUAUAGGGUCCCUUCAAUGCUGGGUUUCAUGUAAACAGGAAACAAUUAGAGAAGAAAUGUGGUGCUCUAUUUCCAUUGCAUUUCCUGUGCAAAACUGUGGGCUAACCCAUUUGGGAAUUUUCACCUUAAUCGUACCUUUGGUUGUGUGAGGUGUGUUGAUUGACUUUCUGUGAUGCCCCCCCCCACACCUGCUUGGAACCGAUUCACGCAACCCACCUCAUGUAAUGAAAGGUAUUUCAGCUGAGUUUGCCCUCUAAAAAUACUGAGGGCUGGAUUCAGUCCUUAGUUGUGCAAGAGGAGUUGCAAAGAGAUUGUGUCCAUCUUGCUAGACACAGGAAGGAGGCGGGAUGGUACGGGCUUGGCACAAUCCUCCUUGCAGGCAUUCCCAGAAGAGGAUCGGUGUGAUUACAGCUUGUGCUGGCUCCAGGUAGUCACACUGCGUGGUUGGGGAACCUGAGCUGCCCGCCCCAGCCCUUUGGUCACACAGGAUGUUGUGUGUGUUGCACAAAUAAACAUUACCAUGUAUAAUCCUCUGCGCUCUGUGGGAUGAGCUGCUCUGCUUGCCUCAGGGCUCCCUGUUUGUGGCCGUGUCGCAGUAGCAAUGAUGUAGGUCCAAAUCAGAAGAAGAAAAGACCACCUGAGGCAGGCAAGUCCUUUGAAAGUUUAAUAAGAGCCAGCAAAAUGAAACUAGGUCAUCAAGAUAUCCGUAAACCCUUGAAAGUUCAAGGAACUUGUGCAUAAUUAAUAGCAAUAACCAAAGCAGAGCAGCAGGUAAACAUUGAUCUCGGCUUUCUUUUGGCAACUGCUUGGUAUGUCCAUUUUCUUGACUGAGAAGAAGCGAGACCAGAGGCAGGUUUAAAUGCUAUUAAACCCUACUCAAGAUGCCACUGCUAAGUUUUAUCACUGGUGAAGAUCUCAAAAUUGUAUCGUACUUUCAUUUGGCCUCAGAGAUGCAUUAGCUCAGAGGCAUCCGAUAGAAGAAUUUGACUGCAUAUACAUGAGCCAGAAAGCUUCUGGAAUUGCCCAAGAGGAUUAAAAUCUUUCCAGAACUGUGUAGUGCUAAUUCAGAGCAAGACACAGGAAGUGGUUCUCUAAGUCCCCUGUAAGUCUACAAUUAAAAACUAUAGGUUUUUGUAAUACUUACUGGAUUAUUCAUGUGGAUUAUUCGGCAUACAUAGCUGUGACAUACAUGUGGAUGGAUGUGUACGUGCAAACUGCUGAAAGGAAAUUUUUAUGGAGAAACAAUGAAAUAACACAGUAGGGAGAUUACUGCCAAAAAAUGCUUUGUAAGUCACAGAGGGGAAAGAACAAGUAAAUACCAUGUUCUAACUCAAAAUCAAUUUUUUUUCUUUUUGUUUGGCUGGUGAUUUGGGCACCUUGGGCAAGGUGAUUCUUCUCUGUAUUAUUGAGAUAUAUGUGUGAAGGUAUUGUGAUUGGGCUUAGAAGUUUCUAUGUGAUGUGCCACUUUGCUGCUACCCCAUAAAUUUUCAUUAAAAAGAGUUUUAUGAUCAUCCAACAUGAAACAUGAGAUUGGAUUGGUAAUAUAUCCAAAGUUACAGGAAAAUAUGUCUUUUGAAUCUGUGUACGUGGUGCAGAAUUCAUCUUUUUACAUAGUUGUAUUGGAGGGAUGGUAUUUAAAUUACAGCCUAGAAUAAUUACAGGAAAGCAAUUACAUUUAUGCAUCUAACAUUUUAGAAGUUCAGUUUCUUACAUAGAUUUGCUGAAUAAAUGUUGCCUUGCUGGAACUUGCACAACCAGGUGAUGUGUUCACUUGCACAAUCAAGAGCAAUUCAAACAUGCAAGAGGGCAAAGAUAAAAUUGAUUUUGUAAUGAUAAAGCCAAAGGCCUUUAUUUUUGUGCAAUUAAAAUUUCACCUCAAAAUUGCGUAGUGAGUUGUUUGCACAGCAUUUCCUUUGAUUCUUCACCCAUCUCACCCUGAGAAGGAUACGUAAAAGAUGUGUUAAGCAGGUGCUGAGGUGCAGUUUGUUUGGAGCCCUUCUGGGCCUUGCUGCUUACUUCUGAUGAGGCAGUGGUUAAGGUCUUAAAUGUGCUUUUAGUUGUAGCCAUCCUAAGUUUUUCUUCUUUGAUAUUUCUUCCCAAGGACUGAGAAUGACCUCCAGUCAAACAUUUGUGGGUAGCUUAACCAUUUUUCAGUUUGUCUUGUGCCGCGCAGCCGGUGAGUGCUUUGGUAUUUGUUUUUUAUAGCCAAGAAGGAAGAAAUGCCAGCUUUUCUUUAUGUUUUUAAUCUUUGGUAAAGUGCAUUCUAGAGAAAACUAGCACACACAGCCAGUGUUUAUGGGCUUGAAUGGUAUAUACAGGCGUGCUUGGAGGUUCCAUGAUUUCAAACACCUUUUUUGGAGGCUGUGCCUGUUCAUCAGCUGUUACUAUUUUAGGUGGGUCAGGUUUUUCCUUCCACAGAACAUGCUUGAGUCAAUGUCCAGAGAGACAAACAUGGAAGAAAAGCAAAAGAUUGUUUUGGAUAUUGGAAAAAAUAUUAUGCAUAUUUCCAGAAUUAACAAUGUUAUUGGGAAGAUUGGAGAAGUUGUGAAAGAGCUCGCAGAUGAUUCAAUGGCCACUGAAGGUGGCCCUCUGAGGAAAAAAUCAAGUCUUAUCUAGUGAUUUUAUCCAAAAUCAGCAUGUUAGUACCCAAAAGGAAAGAAAA